rnacentral:rRNA from 2 species
CAACUUUCAACAACGGAUCUCUUGGCUCUCGCAUCGAUGAAGAACGCAGCGAAAUGCGAUAAGUAAUGUGAAUUGCAGAAUUCAGUGAAUCAUCGAAUCUUUGA